rnacentral:rRNA from 1 species
UCGGGCCUGCUCAAUGAGUAUUAAAUAGCUGCAGUAUUUUGACUGUACAAAGGUAGCGUAAUCAUUAGUUUCUUUAUUAGAAACUUGUAUGAAUGGUUUAAUGAGAAAAAUACUGUCUUAAUUUAAUUUUAAAUGAAUUUUAUUUUUAAGUUAAAAAGCUUAAGUAAUUAUAAAAGACGAGAAGACCCUAUAGAGUUUAAUAAAUUAAUUUUUAUAUUUUUUUAGUAUAUUAUGAAUAUAAAUUUGAUAUUUAAUUUGUUGGGGUGAUAAGAAAAUUUAAUAAACUUUUCUAUAUAGAUUUCAUAUGUUUAUGUUUAUUUGAUCCGUUAUAACGAUUAAAAGAUAAAAUUACCUUAGGGAUAACAGCGUAAUUUUUUUGGAGAGUUCUAAUCGAUAAAAAAGAUUGCGACCUCGAUGUUGGAUUAAAAUUUAUUAUUGGCGCAGAAGUUGAUAUAUUAAGUCUGUUCGACUUUUAAAAUUUUACAUGAUCUGAGUUUAAACCGGUGUGAGCCAGGUUGGUUUCUAUCUUUAUAAAAAUAAUAUAUUUUAGUACGAAAGGACCACUUAUUAUUUAUAUUAAAUAAUUAUUUAGAAUACAAUUGUUAUUUUGGCAGAUUAGUGCAUUAAAUUUAGAAUUUAAACAUGUAUAUUUACAAAUAAUACUUGAUUUUUUUUGAUUAUAUUUUAAUUUUUAUUAGAAGACUAUUACUAAUAGUUUGUGUUCUUGUGGGGGUUG